CAAAAUCCACCCCCCCGUCCGUCUUCCCCCUGGUUCCCUGCUGCACCCAGACUGGCAGUGCUCCCCCGGACACAAGCCUGGCCUGCCUCGUAACUGGCUAUUUACCAUCACCAGUGAACAUCAAGUGGAAUUCUGGCAAAGUGACCCAGGGGGUCAAGGAUUUCCCAGAGGUGACGAUGAGCGACGGGCUCCACACCCGGAGCAGCCUGCUGAUCCUCCCUGACUGGUCCCGGCAGGGCGACACCUACCAGUGCGAUGUGACGCAUCCAGGCACAGCAAAGACAGUGUCGAAGACGUUCCCUCGGGAAUCGUGUGGUUCGACAAGGCCCCCCGAGGUUCACCUGCUGGCCCCCACCUGCGAGGACAGCUCCACAGAGAGCCAGCUGGAG